rnacentral:rRNA from 1 species
GCAUAACGCGAAGAACCUUACCCACCUUUGACAUGUACGGAAUCCUUUAGAGAUAAAGGAGUGCUCGAAAGAGAACCGUAACACAGGUGCUGCAUGGCUGUCGUCAGCUCGUGUCGUGAGAUGUUGGGUUAAGUCCCGCAACGAGCGCAACCCUUGCCAUUAGUUGCUACGAAAGGGCACUCUAAUGGGACUGCCGGUGACAAACCGGAGGAAGGUGGGGAUGGACGUCAAGUCCUCAUGGCCCCUUAUACGGUGGGGCUACGACACGUCAUACAAUGGCUGGUACAGAGGGUUGCCAACCCGGCGAGGGGGAGCGUAAUCCCAUAAAGCCAGUCGUAGUCCGGAUCGCAGUCUGCAACUCGACUGCGUGAAGUCGGAAUCGCUAGUAAUCGCGGAUCAGAAUGUCG